GGAUUGUGGCUCAGUGGUAGAGCACUUGCCUAGCAUGUGUGAAGCCUUGGGUUUGUUUCCCAGCACCA
rnacentral:tRNA from 1 species